GUAAAGGGACGCUCAACUGAUUGCACAGUCAGGUUUUGAAGUUAAUGUUUGCUGUGUAGACGCGUUUACCAAUACUCAAGAUGAAACUGACAAUGACAAUUUUCCUUCUUUUCGUCAUUAUUUCGGCAUCGGGUGCUAUGGUAGAGAAGGAGAAGCGUCGUCCAACAUGCGAAGAAAAAUGUCACAAAAAUGAUUUGUGUAUAAAGAUGUGUAAAGCAAAGCGUUUUGAAAGCAUAGACCUGCCUGAAGUGAAAGAGAAGCGAACUUUACCAAAUUGCCUCAGCAUAUGUGGUCGUGAUGCUGCUUGUAUUGAUGCACAUCUAUCAUCAGGAAGAUGUAAACUCUAAAGACAGUUUGCGAAAAUCUGGCCGAAACACGGAUUAUUUCAACCAAAAAAAAGAUACAAUGAAUAUAUUUGACCUACCGACAUAUGACCCAAGAAUUUUUGCCAAUUUAAGGCUGUAUUUUAGACAUUAUGACGUGAUUCAUCAUAAUAUUAUAUAAUCAAUUCUGUUAUCAAUCGGGUUUUUUUUUUAAACUGUACUAAUAUAUAUUAGUACAGUUUAAAAAAAACCCCGAUUGAUAACAGUUAAAUAGUGUGCUGUGUAAAAGAUAUUAAUUAGGCUCCCAGCGGAAGCGUGUGUCUACUGCCUUAUACAGGAGUUUUUGUUUUUUUAAUUUUAUCUUAUGUUCUUCAAUA